AGGGCUGAUAUGACAAUUGCUGGCACUGCGUAAUUGCUGUGUGGCUACUUGAAAACUUCUCCACUAGAGACUCACUGAGAGCACCUAUUCUGUUGAAUGGAUUUGGCACAAGGAGGAGGAGAGAAGACAAAUGGCCUGGGCUGGUAAGAGACAAAAGUGCCGUGUGUGAGUCUUGGCCCACCUACCUGCUGUGAGACUCUGGGCAAAUCACCUGGUCCCUCUCUUCCCACAUCUUCUGAUGAGCCUUGCUGCCUAUUUCCUGAGUAGCUCAGUGGCCACCAGAGACCCCAGGCUCUUUAUCAACAUUUCAAGAUUGUGUAAGUUCUGGCAUUUUGUACAUUAUCAAAAAGAGAAGGCUAAGACCUAAGUCAGGCUAAAUUUGAUUCAGGAAAACACCUGACGUUUUUGUACUUAAGUAUCGAGGGGUAAAUCACAUCUUUUGCACCUGAAUCCGUAAGAACUGUGGCCUAACCCUCUUCUUCUGGAGAACUCACUUUCCUGUCUUUCUGAGACUCCAGCUAGAUAGUCCUUUGGCAGAUGUUGACCCCAUACUACCUUCUCCGUGGGCAACAUCUGAGUGCAUGGUCUACCUUAGUGAAGGACCUCUCCUUGCCCCUGAAGCACUUCUAUCAUCCUGGACCUCAACGUGGAAUGGUGACCCCUACCUGCCCCACCAGUCACGACCACCUUCUUCCAGCACCUCCAAUGUGUCUGCCCUCCAGCACCACCUGCUCCCAACGUAAGACUGCUGGGGUGAGGUUGCAAAACUUGUGUCUCCCUUAAGUAUGGCUUCUGUACAGAUUAGCCCAGAGACCAUGUCCCAACAAAAUGCCACCAGGAACUCAUGUGGGACGGAGCUGGAAGAUGCCAGCGGUUGCCCCUUCCCCAUGUUAGUGCCUCUUUUCUCCGCACCAACCCUCAGUUCACACCAGAAUGAGACUGCCUGCAUUCACUUUCUGCUCUUACUUCAGAGAAUGUGGCUUAUUCUCAGGCAAUGAACCAGAGGACAACAGACAUUUUCUUUGAGGGAAAUGCAACUUUUUGAAAUUAAAAGGGCAUUUUGUUUUAAUUGAAGAACAUUCAGAUCAGAAACUGGGUUAAAAAUAAACACUGCAGAGCCAGACACAGUGGCUCAGGCCUGUAAUCUUAGCAUUUUGGGAGGCCAAGGCAGGUGGAUCACUUGAGGCCAGGAGUUCAAGACCAGCCUGGCCAACAUGGCAAAAGCCAUCUCUACUAAAAAUAUAAAAAUUAGCAGGGCAUGGUGGCAUCGGCCUGUAAUCCCAGCUACCUGGGAGGCCGAGGCAUGAGAAUCGCUUGAACCUGGGAAGCGGAGGUUGCAGUGAGCCGAGAUCAUGCCACCACACUCCAGCCUGGGCAACAGAGCGAGACUCUGUCUCAAAAUAAAAUAAAAUAAAAUAAUAAGUAAACCCUGCAGAAUCUGAGAGAACAGAGCUCUCGAUGUGGGGGUCUGAUCAGUUUUCCAAGCGUCAACAGACUGGUCCUUCCUAGGAUGCGUGUUUCUUCUGCGGUCGUGUUUACACAUUGGUUUCUGGCAAGAGCAAAGUGUUUGCUUGUGACCUUAAAUAAAAUGCAGACAUCACCUCACUGAGUCUCAUCAAAAGCAGAACUUGUCCUCUCAUUCAUCUUUGUCAGACCAGCAGGAGCAGCCAGGCUAGGUCAUCCAGGGUGACAGUCUCCUUCUCCAUGGAGGUGAAGAUUUCAUCCUGCAUUCUGCUAAUCGGGCUUGGGCCCGCCUUAACCCUGUGAGUGGUUAACACUCC
rnacentral:lncRNA from 1 species